UACGGAGGAUGCGAGCGUUAUCCGGAUUUAUUGGGUUUAAAGGGUGCGUGGGCGGACUGUCAAGUCAGCGGUAAAAUUGAGAGGCUCAACCUCUUCCCGCCGUUGAAACUGGUGGUCUUGAGUGGAUGAGAAGUACGCGGAAUGCGUGGUGUAGCGGUGAAAUGCAUAGAUAUCACGCAGAACUCCGAUUGCGAAGGCAGCGUACCGGCAUCCAACUGACGCUGAGGCACGAAAGCGUGGGGAUCAAACAGG
rnacentral:rRNA from 1 species